rnacentral:rRNA from 1 species
CCUACGGGUGGCAGCAGUGAGGAAUAUUGGUCAAUGGGCGGGAGCCUGAACCAGCCAAGUCGCGUGAGGGAAGACGGUCCUAUGGAUUGUAAACCUCUUUAGGCGGGGAGCAAUGCCGGGCACGUGUGCCCGGAGGGAGAGUACCCGCAGAAUAAGCAUCGGCUAACUCCGUGCCAGCAGCCGCGGUAAUCCGGAGGAUGCGAGCGUUAUCCGGAUUUAUUGGGUUUAAAGGGUGCGUAGGCGGCUUUUUAAGUCCGCGGUAAAAUUUCGGGGCGCAACCCGGGCCGGCCGUGGACACUGGGAGUGGCGAGAUGGAGAGAAGGAGGGGGAAGGCGCGGUGUAGCGGUGGAAGGGAGGG